UGGGUACAGUGCACCUUUACAUAAUAAAUUCCUUAGUAAGUAGGCCACAGAAAUCUUCUCCUUCUCCUCCUUCUUCUCCUCCUCCACUGAUAUGUUAUUAAGGUAAUACUUAGGUUGUGAAUAAUCUACCUGUUGGAUUCUUUUAGCAUAUUUUAUUCUCCAUUAAGUUAUUAGUAGCAUUAUCAGUAUUAUAACUUACUGCAGGGAAGAAACUGAAAGCAAAUGUGACUCUGAAGGAGAGGAAGAUGAGGAAGACAUGGAACCCUGCCUAACAGGAACCAAAGUGAAAGUAAAAUAUGGACGAGGGAAGACUCAGAAAAUUUAUGAAGCCAGUAUUAAAAGCACUGAAAUUGAUGACGGAGAAGUUUUAUAUUUGGUACAUUACUAUGGAUGGAAUGUCAGGUAUGAUGAGUGGGUGAAGGCUGACAGGAUAAUCUGGCCUUUGGACAAAGGUGGACCAAAGAAAAAACAGAAGAAAAAAGCUAAAAAUAAAGAAGAUAGUGAAAAGGACGAAAAGAGAGAUGAGGAGAGGCAGAAGUCAAAACGGGGACGACCUCCUUUAAAAUCAACCCUCUCAU
rnacentral:lncRNA from 1 species